CUUAACACAUGCAAGUCGAGCGGAAAGGCCCUUCGGGGGUACUCGAGCGGCGAACGGGUGAGUAACACGUGAGUAACCUGCCCUGGACUUUGGGAUAACCCUCGAAACGGGGGCUAAUACCGAAUACGACUUCCGUGCCGCAUGGYRUGGRYGUGGAAAGUUUUUUCGGUCUGGGAUGGACGUCGCGGCCUAUCAGCUUGGUUGGUGGGGUAAUGGCCUACCAAGGCGACGACGGGUAGCCGGCCUGAGAGGGCGACCGGCCACACUGGGACUGAGACACGGCCCAGACUCCUACGGGAGGCAGCAGUGGGGAAUAUUGCACAAUGGGCGGAAGCCUGAUGCAGCGACGCCGCGUGAGGGAUGACGGCCUUCGGGUUGUAAACCUCUUUCAGCAGGGACGAAGCGCAAGUGACGGUACCUGCAGAAGAAGCGCCGGCCAACUACGUGCCAGCAGCCGCGGUAAGACGUAGGGCGCGAGCGUUGUCCGGAUUUAUUGGGCGUAAAGAGCUCGUAGGCGGCUUGUCGCGUCGAAUGUGAAAUCUCAGGGCUCAACUCUGACAUUGCAUUCGAUACGGGCAGGCUAGAGUUCGGUAGGGGAGACUGGAAUUCCUGGUGUAGCGGUGAAAUGCGCAGAUAUCAGGAGGAACACCGGUGGCGAAGGCGGGUCUCUGGGCCGAUACUGACGCUGAGGAGCGAAAGCGUGGGGAGCGAACAGGAUUAGAUACCCUGGUAGUCCACGCUGUAAACGUUGGGCGCUAGGUGUGGGGACCCUCUCCGGGUUUCUGCGCCGCAGCUAACGCAUUAAGCGCCCCGCCUGGGGAGUACGGCCGCAAGGCUAAAACUCAAAGGAAUUGANGGGGGCCCGCACAAGCGGCGGAGCAUGCGGAUUAAUUCGAUGCAACGCGAAGAACCUUACCUGGGUUUGACAUGCAC
rnacentral:rRNA from 1 species